rnacentral:rRNA from 1 species
UAGGGAAUCUUCGGCAAUGGACGAAAGUCUGACCGAGCAACGCCGCGUGAGUGAAGAAGGUUUUCGGAUCGUAAAACUCUGUUGUUAGAGAAGAACAAGGACGUUAGUAACUGAACGUCCCCUGACGGUAUCUAACCAGAAAGCCACGGCUAACUACGUGCCAGCAGCCGCGGUAAUACGUAGGUGGCAAGCGUUGUCCGGAUUUAUUGGGCGUAAAGCGAGCGCAGGCGGUUUCUUAAGUCUGAUGUGAAAGCCCCCGGCUCAACCGGGGAGGGUCAUUGGAGACUGGGAGACUUUAGUGCAGAAGAGGAGAGUGGAAUUCCAUGUGUAGCGGUGAAAUGCGUAGAUAUAUGGAGGAACACCAGUGGCGAAGGCGGCUCUCUGGUCUGUAACUGACGCUGAGGCUCGAAAGCGUGGGGAGCAAACAGG